GGGCAUCAGAUCUCAGUACAGAUGGUUGUGAGCCACCAUGUGGAUGCUGGGAUUUGAACUCAGGACCUCCGGAAGACCACAACAAGAAAACCCACUGAUGCUCCAAAACAAUACUUGGGUGGAGCCAUCUCCUAUCUCUCAACAUGCUCUAUCUGGAAGGAAAGGAAGUUCCUUCACAUCUCCCCAGGAUACAUUUAACAACAAACACCCCAUUAAGAACUUGCUGUAAUCAUUGUCCAGGGUCAGUGCCUUGGGUAGUUGACACAUGAGAAGCUCCUGUGACAUCUUGUGAACUGUCACUGCCAUGGAGCCAGGAACCCACCUCAGUGUUGGGACAUCAUUGCUGGUGCUAAUGUACAGACUUCAAGAAUGUGCCUGUCUAAGAUGAAAAGUGGAUGGAGGAAGGACAAGGGCAAAAGUGACAGAGUUUGUUCAAAGAAAAACAAAGCAGGGGCUUCUCAAAAAGCUAGCUUGCCAUUCCCCCAUCACCCUCAACUCUCCCAUUCCCUGAGAAUCCCACAAGUCAGGAAGGUUUCGGUGGCCCUCUUGUGGCGACCUCAAAUAUUGCUCAAUGUUUUUUGGUUGCAUCAUGCAAGUGGUACCAGCUAGAAACAAGGUGUGAAAUAAAACUAUUUUAAAGGUU